rnacentral:rRNA from 2 species
AUAAGCGGAGGAAAAGAAACCAACAGGGAUUGCCUCAGUAACGGCGAGUGAAGCGGCAACAGCUCAAAUUUGAAAUCUGGCCUCUUGGGGUCCGAGUUGUAAUUUGGAGAGGAUGUUUCGGGUACGGUCCGGGCUUAAAUUUCUUGGAACAGAAUGUCACAGAGGGUGAGAAUCCCGUCUGGAGUCUGCGACACGGCCUAUGUGAAACUCCUUCGACGAGUCGAGUUGUUUGGGAAUGCAGCUCUAAAUGGGUGGUAAAUUUCAUCUAAAGCUAAAUAUUGGCCAGAGACCGAUAGCGCACAAGUAGAGUGAUCGAAAGAUGAAAAGCACUUUGAAAAGAGAGUUAAACAGUACGUGAAAUUGUUGAAAGGGAAGCGCUGGCAACCAGACUUGCGCGUCGGGGUUCCCCCUUGCUUCUGCCUGGGCUACUCCCCGGCGUUCAGGCCAACAUCGGUUUUGGGGGUCGGUUAAAGGCCCCGGGAAUGUACCUACUCUUCGGGGUAGACUUAUAGCCCGGGGUGUCAUGCGGCCACCCGGGACCGAGGAACGCGCUUCGGCUCGGAUGUUGGCGUAAUGGUUGUCAGCGACCCGUCUUGAAACACGGACCAAGGAGUCUAACAUCUAUGCGAGUGUUAGGGUGUCAAACCCUUACGCGGAAUGAAAGUGAACGGAGGUAGGAAGCCGUAACACGCUGCACUAUCGACCGAUCCUGAAGUUUACGGAUGGAUUUGAGUAAGAGCAUAGCUGUUGGGACCCGAAAGAUGGUGAACUAUGCCUGAAUAGGGUGAAGCCAGAGGAAACUCUGGUGGAGGCUCGCAGCGGUUCUGACGUGCAAAUCGAUCGUCAAAUUUGGGUAUAGGGGCGAAAGACUAAUCGAACCA